GGACGACCAGCCACACUGGAACUGAGACACGGUCCAGACACCUACGGGUAGCAGCAGUCGAGAAUUUUUCACAAUGGGCGAAAGCCUGAUGGAGCGACGCCGCGUGGGGGAUGAAUGGCUUCGGCCCGUAAACCCCUGUCAUUCGAUCAAAGCUUGCUAUUUAAAAGAUGGUAAGCUGAUAGUAGCGGAAGAGGAAGGGACGGCUAACUCUGUGCCAGCAGCCGCGGUAAUACAGAGGUCCCAAGCGUUGUUCGGAUUCACUGGGCGUAAAGGGUGCGUAGGUGGCGAGGUAAGUCGGAUGUGAAAGCUCGGAGCUCAACUCCGAAAUGGCAUUGGAAACUACCUUGCUCGAGGGUCGGAGGGGGGACUGGAAUUCUCGGUGUAGCAGUGAAAUGCGUAGAUAUCGAGAGGAACACCAGUUGCGAAGGCGAGUCCCUGGACGACUCCUGACACUGAGGCACGAAAGCUAGGGGAGCAAACAGGAUUAGAUACCCUGGUAGUCCUAGCCGUAAACGGUGCAUGCUUGCUGUAAAAGGAUUCGACCCCUUUUGUGGCGGAGCCAACGCGUUAAGCAUGCCGCCUGGGAAGUACGGUCGCAAGAUUAAAACUCAAAGAAAUUGACGGGGGCCUGCACAAGCGGUGGAGUAUGUGGCUCAAUUCGAUGCAACGCGAAGAACCUUACCUGGCCUUGACAUGUGCGUAGUAGAAGGGUGAAAGCCUGACGAGGUAGCAAUACCAGCGCACACAGGUGCUGCAUGGCUGUCGUCAGCUCGUGUCGUGAGAUGUUGGGUUAAGUCCCGCAACGAGCGCAACCCCUGUGUCCUGUUGCCACCCCGGCGAGAGUCGGGAGCACUCUGGACAGACUGCCUCGCUUAAACGAGGAGGAAGGUGGGGAUGACGUCAAGUCAGUAUGGCCCUUACGGCCAGGGCUGCACACGUACUACAAUGCCCGGUACAAAGGGAAGCAAGACCGUCAGGUGGAGCAAAUCCCCAAAAACCGGGCCCAGUUCAUAUUGUCGUCUGCAACUCGACGGCAUGAAGUUGGAAUCGCUAGUAAUGGCGCAUCAGCUACGGCGCCGUGAAUACGUUCCCAGGCCUUGUACACACCGCCCGUCACAUCAUGGAAGCCGUUUGUACCCGAAGUCGCCGUGCCAACCGCAAGGGGGCAGGUGCCGAAGGUAUGGAUGGUGAUUGGGAUGAAGUCGUAACAAGGU
rnacentral:rRNA from 1 species